AUACGGAGGAUGCGAGCGUUAAUCGGAAUUACUGGGCGUAAAGCGCGCGUAGGCGGUUUGUUAAGUCGGAUGUGAAAUCCCCGGGCUCAACCUGGGACCUGCAUCCGAUACUGGCAGGCUAGAGUCUGGUAGAGGGGGGUAGAAUUCCUGGUGGAGCGGUGAAAUGCGUAGAUAUCAGGAGGAAUACCAGUGGCGAAGGCGGCCCCCUGGACUGAGACUGACGCUGAGGUGCGAAAGCGUGGGGAGCAAACAGGAUUAGAAACCCUAGUAGUCC
rnacentral:rRNA from 1 species